AAACAAUCUGUGACUGGUGUCGUGGUUGUAACUUGGCUCUGAUACCACUUUAAUUUGUCAUGCCCUGGAGUCCCUCUUGGUUUUAAAACGAUGCGGAAGUGCCCAAAUUUUUUUUUUUUUUUUUGAAAGCCUUGACCCCAGAGGAUAUUAGAUCCACCACAAAUAUAGAAAAUCCACUGUUCACACGGACAGAGUCUCCCCUGUAUUUGCACGGCGUCGCACAAGUACAAGAUACAACCAUACUGUAUACAUAUCCACAUACAAUCACCACAUCACAUUCAUUCCAUCACAAGUUUACCAUAAAUCCACAUCAAUUAGUUUAAAACGUUUUCUAUUCGGAAACUUAUUUUGAAAUACUAUGAGGUGGGGAGGAAGAGAAGAA
rnacentral:lncRNA from 1 species